GGAAGAAGAAAAAUGUAUAAAUCUGUAUCAAGAUAUAACUAAGUAAAAUUAUACAUAUUUAUGGAUUAAUUUAUAAUUGGCCACUAACUCUGCUUAAAUACAAUUUUUGACUCGAAACUAGCAAGGGGAUGGAUGAAGACGUAACUCGUCUCAUAAUGAGCAGGAUGGACAAUGGGCAUCUCUUCUCUGGGCGCAGGAACGCAGCCCAAUUUGGAUGGAGAGCUAAGGAAGCCACCCACCCUCCUCAUGGACUGCACCAGAUAUGCCAGUUCUUACUGUGAUAGGUUACCCUACACUUCCUCCAAGGCACUUGCAAGUUCCCGGACAUUUCUGGGGGGAAUGGCCCUAGCCCUCAUCCUCUGAUUUAACAGGACCCAGACGUGCUCAAUGGGAUUGAGAUCCGGGCUCUUCGCUGGCCAUGGCAGAACACUGAUAUUCCUGUCUUGCAAGAAAUCAGGCACAGAACGAGCAGUAUGGCUGGUGGCAUUGUCAUGCGGGAGGGUCAUAUCAGGAUGAGCCUGCAGGAAGGGUAACACAUGAGGGAGGAGGAGGUCUUUCCUGUAAUGCACAGCAUUGAGAUUGCCUGGAAUGACAACAAGCUCAGUCCGAUGAUGCUGUGACACACUGCCCCAGACCAUGAUGGACCCUCCACCUCCAAAUCGAUCCCGCUUUAGAGUACAGGCCUAAGCGUAACACUCAUUCCUUCGACAAUAGUGAAGGUGGGUUUACUCAUUCCUUCACAAUAGUGAAGGUGGGUUUGUGCCCAUAGGCGACGUUGUUUCCAGUGAUGUGUGGUUAGGACCUGCCUUACAACAGGCCUACAAGUCCUCAAUCCAGACCCUCUCUGCCUAUUGUGGACAGUCUGUGGACUGAUGGAGGGAUUGUGCAUUCCUGGUGCAUCUGAGGCUGUUGUUGUUGCCAUCCUGUACCUGUCCCCCAGGUGUGAUAUUCGGAUGUACCGAUCCUGUACGUAGUCUGCCACUGCGAGGAUGAUCAGUUGUCCUUCCUGUCUCCCUGUAGUGCUGUCUUAGGUGACUCACAGUACAGACAUUGCAAUUUAUUGCCCUGGCCACAUCUGCAGUCCUCAUGCCUCCAUGCAGCAUGCCUAAGGCACAUUCACGCAGAUGAGCAGGGACCCUGGGCAUCUUUCUUUUGGUGUUUUUCAGAGUCAGUUUAAAGGUAUCUUUAGUCUCCUAAGUUUUUAUAACUGUGUCCUUAAUUGCCUACUGUCUGUAAGCUGUUAGUGUCUUAACGGCCGUUCCACAGGUGCAUGCUCAUUAAUUGUUUAUGUUUCAUUGAACAAGCAUGGAAAACAUUGUUUAAACCCUUUGCAAUAAAGAUCUGAAACGUUACUUUUAUUUUUACUAAAUUAUCUUUAAAAUAGUGUCCUGAAAAAGGGACAUGUCUUUUUUUUUGCUGAGUUAAUAUAUAUAUAUAUAUUAUAGUGUAAGGUAAUGUGUGAUGGUCAAAUGUGUUAAAUGUAUAAACCAUU